AAAUUGAAGAGUUUGAUCAUGGCUCAGAUUGAACGCUGGCGGCAGGCCUAACACAUGCAAGUCGAACGGUAACAGGAAGCAGCUUGCUGCUUUGCUGACGAGUGGCGGACGGGUGAGUAAUGUCUGGGAAACUGCCUGAUGGAGGGGGAUAACUACUGGAAACGGUGGCUAAUACCGCAUAACGUCGCAAGACCAAAGAGGGGGAUCUUCGGGCCUCUUGCCAUCAGAUGUGCCCAGAU
rnacentral:rRNA from 2 species